UAUGGCCUUAUCACAUUGAAACACUGAUUCUCAUACAAUAACUGAAGUUAGGCAAUGUUGAGCCUGGCUAGUACCUGGAUGGGUGGCCAUUUGGGAAAUACCAGGUGCUGUAAG